rnacentral:piRNA from 1 species
UGCCUCAACUGACGUGGUGACACCUGGCAAU